CCUANGGGGUGGCUGCAGUCGAGAAUCUUCGGCAAUGGGCGAAAGCCUGACCGAGCGACGCCGCGUGCGGGAUGAAGGCCUUCGGGUUGUAAACCGCUGUCAGAGGGGAGGAAAUGCAUAAGGGUUCUCCCUUGUGUUUGACCUAUCCUCAGAGGAAGUACGGGCUAAGUUCGUGCCAGCAGCCGCGGUAAUACGAACCGUACGAACGUUAUUCGGAUUCACUGGGCUUAAAGGGUGCGUAGGCGGCUGGGAAAGUUGGGUGUGAAAGCCCUCGGCUCAACCGAGGAAUUGCGCCCAAAACUUCCUGGCUUGAGGGAGAUAGAGGUGAGCGGAACUAAUGGUGGAGCGGUGAAAUGCGUUGAUAUCAUUAGGAACACCUGUGGCGAAAGCUGCUCACUGGGUCUUUUCUGACGCUGAGGCACGAAAGCUAGGGGAGCGAACGGGAUUAGAUACCCCGNUANUC
rnacentral:rRNA from 1 species